rnacentral:lncRNA from 1 species
GUCAGGUCCAUUAAAAACAUUUUGCUUUUUGCAGAGUGCUUAGAAAGCACCACAAAGCUCAAAGGAAGAGUAAAAGAUGAAACAGAAUUCAUAAAGAAAAUUUCAGGGAGUCUUGAGCGAUCACAGAGUUUGCCGGAAUGAACAAUGUGGGGAUGGGCAAGCCAGGGUGCGGUGGGGUUCAGAGAAGAGCAUUCUAGGAGGAGGCAAGGGCCCCGCCUGAGCUCAGGGUGCUCGCAGUUGGAAGAAGUCGCUGUGACUGAAGCCGGCUGGGCUCUGCUGUGAAGCCCUGAGGCGCCACCCCGAAGGGCAGUAAAGCGACGAACGGUGCGAUUGCAUUUUCUUCUUUAGAGCAACUGUUCUGGAAGGUGCAUCGGAGGUGGCUGAGAUGUGAUGCAGAGAGAGCCGCUAGGAAAUCACUACCAAGUGCUGAGCGUGUAGUACAGUGGGUGAGCGAAGAAGGGAACCCGAUGUGAAGACGGAAGGAAGAGCGACGCAGCCGAGCCGGAAGUGGGGGCCACACCCAGCCCAGGCUUCUGGCUCGGUCAGAGGUUGCAGACCCCUGACGUGGGUGGAAAGAAAUCGAGGCUUCUUGCUGCAUCUUCAAAGCCCUCCAGGCCCGGGCCCGCCCAGUUCCCAGCCUCAUCUGCUGCAGCCCUCCCUCUCGGACCUGCCUGCUGCUCGAGCGCUCUCUCAGUGCCAUCUCCCUCUUCAGCCAGCCCGCCCAGCUACAUUGCGAUGGUCUGGGAGCUUCUCCUGGCCCUCUGGAGCCCCGGGGUCCUCCCAAGGGCUCUCCUCUAGUCUGACCUUUCACGUCCGCUCAAACCCACACUGAGAUCCUGCCCCUCGGGGUGGUGGUACUGGGAGGUGGGGCUUGGGGAGGUGGUUAGGUCCUAAGGGUGGAGCCCUCAUGAGAGAGGAGACCCCAGAGCUAGCGAGUCCCUUCCACCGUGAAGGUCACAGCCAGAAGAGGGUGCAUCCGUGAGGAAGCAGGCCCCCACCGACUCUGGGCCUGCUGCCUCCUUGGCCUCGGACACCCAGCCUCCCUGACUCCUGACUGGGAAAUUUCUUUCUGUCUGUCUGUCUGGCUGGCUGUCUCUUUCUUUCUUUCUUUCUUCCAGUGAAAUUGAUUUCUGUUGUUUAUAAAAAUCCAGUUUGUGAUAUUUUGUCAUAAACAGCCUAAGACCCCCCCCCCCAUACUGGGAAUCGAACCCAAGAGGGAGCACUGAGCUAUAUCUCCAGUCCUUUCAAUUUUGAGACAGAGCCUCUGUAAGUUGCCCAGGCUGGUUUCAAACUUGGAAUUUUCCUGCCUCA